GACGAACGCUGGCGGCGUGCUUAACACAUGCAAGUCGAACGGAAAGGCCCUGCUUGCAGGGUACUCGAGUGGCGAACGGGUGAGUAACACGUGGGUGAUCUGCCCUGCACUUCGGGAUAAGCUUGGGAAACUGGGUCUAAUACCGGAUAGGAACCAUCUUUAGUGUGGUGGUUGGAAAGUUUUUUCGGUGUAGGAUGAGCUCGCGGCCUAUCAGCUUGUUGGUGGGGUAAUGGCCUACCAAGGCGGCGACGGGUAGCCGGCCUGAGAGGGUGUACGGCCACAUUGGGACUGAGAUACGGCCCAGACUCCUACGGGAGGCAGCAGUGGGGAAUAUUGCACAAUGGGCGCAAGCCUGAUGCAGCGACGCCGCGUGUGGGAUGAAGGCCUUCGGGUUGUAAACUCCUUUCGCUAGGGACGAAGCUUUUUGUGACGGUACCUAGAGAAGAAGCACCGGCUAACUACGUG
rnacentral:rRNA from 1 species